CCUACGGGAGGCAGCAGUGAGGAAUAUUGGUCAAUGGGAGAGAUCCUGAACCAGCCAAGCCGCGUGAGGGAAGACGGCCCUAUGGGUUGUAAACCUCUUUUGUCGGAGAACAAAACCCGGGACGUGUCCCGGACUGCGUGUAUCCGAAGAAAAAGCAUCGGCUAACUCCGUGCCAGCAGCCGCGGUAAUACGGAGGAUGCGAGCGUUAUCCGGCUUUAUUGGGUUUAAAGGGUGCGUAGGCGGUCCGUUAAGUCAGCGGUAAAAUGGCGGGGCUCAACCCCGUCGAGCCGUUGAAACUGGCAGACUUGAGUUGGCGAGAAGUACGCGGAAUGCGCGGUGUAGCGGUGAAAUGCAUAGAUAUCGCGCAGAACUCCGAUUGCGAAGGCAGCGUACCGGCGCCAGACUGACGCUGAGGCACGAAAGCGUGGGGAUCGAACAGGAUUAGAUACCCCAGUAGUC
rnacentral:rRNA from 1 species